rnacentral:rRNA from 1 species
CUAACACAUGCAAGUCGAGCGGAAACGAUCCUAGCUUGCUAGGAGGCGUCGAGCGGCGGACGGGUGAGUAAUGCAUAGGAAUCUGCCCGGUAGUGGGGGAUAACCUGAGGAAACUCAGGCUAAUACCGCAUACGUCCUACGGGAGAAAGCAGGGGCUCUUCGGACCUUGCGCUAUCGGAUGAGCUUAUGUCGGAUUAGCUGGUUGGUGAGGUAACGGCUCACCAAGGCGACGAUCCGUAGCUGGUCUGAGAGGAUGAUCAGCCACAUCGGGACUGAGACACGGCCCGAACUCCUACGGGAGGCAGCAGUGGGGAAUAUUGGACAAUGGGGGCAACCCUGAUCCAGCCAUGCCGCGUGUGUGAAGAAGGCCCUCGGGUUGUAAAGCACUUUCAGUGAGGAAGAAGGCUUGUCGGUUAAUACCCGGCAAGAAAGACAUCACUCACAGAAGAAGCACCGGCUAACUCCGUGCCAGCAGCCGCGGUAAUACGGAGGGUGCGAGCGUUAAUCGGAAUUACUGGGCGUAAAGCGUGCGUAGGCGGCUUGAUAAGCCGGUUGUGAAAGCCCCGGGCUCAACCUGGGAACGGCAUCCGGAACUGUCAGGCUAGAGUGCAGGAGAGGAAGGUAGAAUUCCCGGUGUAGCGGUGAAAUGCGUAGAGAUCGGGAGGAAUACCAGUGGCGAAGGCGGCCUUCUGGACUGACACUGACGCUGAGGUACGAAAGCGUGGGUAGCAAACAGGAUUAGAUACCCUGGUAGUCCACGCCGUAAACGAUGUCGACUAGCCGUUGGGGUCCUCGAGACCUUUGUGGCGCAGUUAACGCACUAAGUCGACCGCCUGGGGAGUACGGCCGCAAGGUUAAAACUCAAAUGAAUUGACGGGGGCCCGCACAAGCGGUGGAGCAUGUGGUUUAAUUCGAUGCAACGCG